AAAUGACCCAUGAGGGAUCAAACUCACGACCAUUGCCUUAUUAGCACGGCACUCUAACCAACUGAGCUAAUAUGUCAUU